GAUGAACGCUGGCGGCGUGCUUAACACAUGCAAGUCGAGCGAGUGAGUUCUUCGGAACGAUCUAGCGGCGGACGGGUGAGUAACACGUGGGCAACCUGCCUCAUAGAGGGGAAUAGCCUUCCGAAAGGGAGAUUAAUACCGCAUAACAUCGUUGAAGGGUAUCCUUCGAUGAUCAAAGGAGCAAUCCGCUAUGAGAUGGGCCCGCGGCGCAUUAGCUAGUUGGUGAGGUAACGGCUCACCAAGGCGACGAUGCGUAGCCGACCUGAGAGGGUGAUCGGCCACAUUGGGACUGAGACACGGCCCAGACUCCUACGGGAGGCAGCAGUGGGGAAUAUUGCACAAUGGGGGGAAACCCUGAUGCAGCAACGCCGCGUGAGUGAUGACGGCCUUCGGGCUGUAAAGCUCUGUCUUUGGGGACGAUAAUGACGGUACCCAAGGAGGAAGUCACGGCUAACUACGUGCCAGCCGCCGCUGUAA
rnacentral:rRNA from 1 species